CGUCGCGCAUUCUGAGAUGUUCAUUUUCUGCUCACCCCCAGUAUUAAAGGGGGGGUUAUCUGAAUUACCGUGGCACCGUCUGAGUAAAAACUGCGGAGACUGCUGUGCGUGGAAAAAUCCCGGGAGAUCGACAGUCUCGGAAACACUCCGAUCAGCUGCUCGGGCACCAACAAUCAUGCCAGGCCAAUGCUGCCACACGAUUGGCUGAUUAGGUGACGGCACGAACAAGCAGGAUACACGGGUGUUCCUCACGAAGUGCUCGGCGAGUGUGUAUGUAUGCACUUCUGAUUACACAGGUUACCCGCUGCCGUGCCUUAUGUUUUGGUAGCUGACGACUGUCCUGAGUAUGGAAGAAGAAACGUGACUGGUGCCAGCUGCCAUCUUGGAUCUGACAGAGGAAGGGUUAAGGGAGAGAAAACAAUGAAAGAUGAGUCAAGUCUGCUGGAGCUGAAGCUGUCCGCCGGGACAUAAGGUGGAUCAUUUAGGCAGUGGAGUGUGAUGCUGUGGCUGGCCUCAGUGCUUAAUAAAUGGAGAAAUUUCAUUUGGACUUUCCCUACGCCAAACACCAUCUGCGGAAGAGAGAGCACAAGAAGUGGCACAUAAAGUUGCAGAAGACCUUGAAGGCGUCAAAAGUACAGCCCAGAUUUGGAUCGAUCCAGAACCAGUCUGAAAGUCCCCAUUCAGACAGAAGACAGAGGAAGAAAGGAACGAGGAG